rnacentral:misc_RNA from 1 species
GAUGAAGAACGUAGCGAAAUGCGAUAAGUAAUGUGAAUUGCAGAAUUCCGUGAAUCAUCGAAUCUUUGAACGCACAUUGCGCCCCCUGGCAUUCCGGGGGGCAUGCCUGUCCGAGCGUCAUUUCUGCCCUCCAGCCCGGCUGGGUGUUGGGCGCUGUCCCCCCGGGGACACGCCCCAAAGGCAGUGGCGGCGCCGCGUCGGGUCCUCGAGCGUAUGGGGCUUUGUCACCCGCUCGGGACGGACUCGUCGGCGCUGGUCUUCCUCCAGGCGACCCUUCGCGGCUCGUCUUCCUUCGGUUGACCUCGGAUCAGGUAGGGUUACCCGCUGAACUUAAGCAUAUCAAUAAGCGGAGGA